rnacentral:rRNA from 1 species
GAUGAACGCUGGCGGCGUGCCUAAUACAUGCAAGUCGAGCGAACAGACGAGGAGCUUGCUCCUCUGACGUUAGCGGCGGACGGGUGAGUAACACGUGGAUAACCUACCUAUAAGACUGGGAUAACUUCGGGAAACCGGAGCUAAUACCGGAUAAUAUAUUGAACCGCAUGGUUCAAUAGUGAAAGACGGCUUUGCUGUCACUUAUAGAUGGAUCCGCGCCGCAUUAGCUAGUUGGUAAGGUAACGGCUUACCAAGGCAACGAUGCGUAGCCGACCUGAGAGGGUGAUCGGCCACACUGGAACUGAGACACGGUCCAGACUCCUACGGGAGGCAGCAGUAGGGAAUCUUCCGCAAUGGGCGAAAGCCUGACGGAGCAACGCCGCGUGAGUGAUGAAGGUCUUCGGAUCGUAAAACUCUGUUAUUAGGGAAGAAAAAAUGUGGAAGUAACCAUGCACGUCUUGACGGUACCUAAUCAGAAAGCCACGGCUAACUACGUG